CGGCGGCAGGAGCGGCCGCGACUCCAUCCGGGUCCCGGCGCGGCUCCGGGUCACCCUGCGACUAACUUGAACGCCCGGAAGCGCCGCCCCCGGGCGCUCCUCAGUGGUGGGUUGGCCCCGCCGCCCGCCGGGGAUAGGCCGCGGAUGCCGUCAGCGCCUCGGAGAUGUGCUUCAUUCAGUGCACGAGUGGGCGGUAGUGACUUCUAAUUUCUUUCAAGCCGUGGUUUCUGGAUAUUUAUGUUCCAUCUGUAACUACUUGGUUAGAAAAAUAAGUCAAAAUCAAACAUGCUAGUUGAAAAUGUGGCAAAGCAGUAAUAUUUCAUGUUAUAAUUAUGUAAAACCAGAAUGCUUUGUGUUAAAGCAAUUAAAUGUAAAUGGGAUAUAGAUUUAGUAAAAAUAAAAUUGGCAUUUCCGAUUGAGACGCUAGAUUAAUACCACUGACUGUCACCAAUACUGUAUUUAUCUUACACUGUUGUGUGAAAAUUCCAAGAAAUGCCGUAGUGGACACAUAUCCCUGUCAAGGUGGAUGGACUUCGGUACUGCUCGUGCUUAGAGUUAAAGUACCUCUAUAAAUUUGUAUAGCGUUGUGUGCUGAAACUGCUUGUCCUCCUUUUCUCCUCUUUGUAAAAUUUGUGAGUUCAAACAAGUGUUUCGGUGUGAUUUGCACUUACUCCAGUGUAUUGCUGCUAAAUGGGCUAGCAUGUCCAAAUAGAGGUAUUAAAUUUUAAGUUUUUGGGCAUAAGCAGGGGACUCUUAAAAAGGUGCCUGGACUUGAGCUGGCAAACAUUACAUUCUGAUGAAAGAAUUUUUGCUUUCUUGCUCAGUGGCUGUUUUCAGUGCAGGUGAAUGUGCUUGGCACAAAGUAAAAAAAAAAAAACAAAACCCAAACCCCCAAAAAAACCCACAACCACCCCUCUAAUCUGUUUAGUCUUAAUCUUCACACAGGUUUUUAACUUACAGUUUUGACUUUUCUGUUAUGCUUAAUUUUAUCCAUUGAAUUUCUAAAGCUGAAUUUAAGCACUAGAGUAAAAUAGUCUUUUCAGGUAGCAACCUAUUUACAACUUUACAAUUGCCAAAUGAUCUUUUCACAGCAGGAUGUACUACAGCAUUGUAUACCUCAAGUUUAUGUAUCUGUUUAUCUCCACACUGCACAGAGUAGGUGUCAGUAAAGCACAGUUUAUGUAGGAACUAUUCCUUCUACAAACUCCCUUUCAGCUUUAGGUGGCUGCUUCUGUGCUGCAAAGUAGGCAAAAUAACUGGGAGAAUAAAGCAUUUGGCUUUUAGGAUCACACUGAGAGGAAAUGGGACUUUUGUUAUUUCCGCAAAUACACAUUUUGUUCCUUCAGCAGAGUAAUGAAUAAAAAUCGUAACUAUC